ACCGAUAGUAUAGUAGCCUAGUUCUAUAUAUAUAUAUAUAUAUAUAUAUAUAUAUGCAUGUUGUGAACUAAGUUAUUCGAACUAGCACAAAUUUUUAUACUCUAGCAUCUUGAAUUUCAAAAUAAAUGAUGUAAAAUAUCUUAUUUUACAAACCACACAGCCGUAAAAUAAUAUAUUUUACCUUUUAUUUUAAUAUUUCAAAAUAAAUGUUAUCAUGCUAAAAUACUUUUAUAAAAGAUUUUAGAAGUUAAGGGCGGCAAAAUUAUGAUAAUCGAAAUAUUUUAGCUAGAGAUAGAAAGUAAGAAUAAGGGUACAUUUGUAGGAAUAUUUAUGAUAUAAUCAAAUUUAUUGCAGCGUAUUUGUAGGAAUAUUUAUGAUAUAAUCAAAUUUAUUGCAGCGUAUCGAAGUUUAGAGGGGCACGGAUGAAAUUGACCUUCUUG
rnacentral:lncRNA from 1 species